rnacentral:rRNA from 1 species
GGUGAACGCUGGCGGCGUGCCUAAUACAUGCAAGUCGAGCGAACGGACGAGAAGCUUGCUUCUCUGAUGUUAGCGGCGGACGGGUGAGUAACACGUGGAUAACCUACCUAUAAGACUGGGAUAACUUCGGGAAACCGGAGCUAAUACCGGAUAUUAUUUUGAACCGCAUGGUUCAAAAGUGAAAGACGGUCUUGCUGUCACUUAUAGAUGGAUCCGCGCUGCAUUAGCUAGUUGGUAAGGUAACGGCUUACCAAGGCAACGAUGCAUAGCCGACCUGAGAGGGUGAUCGGCCACACUGGAACUGAGACACGGUCCAGACUCCUACGGGAGGCAGCAGUAGGGAAUCUUCCGCAAUGGGCGAAAGCCUGACGGAGCAACGCCGCGUGAGUGAUGAAGGUCUUCGGAUCGUAAAACUCUGUUAUUAGGGAAGAACAUAUGUGUAAGUAACUGUGCACAUCUUGACGGUACCUAAUCAGAAAGCCACGGCUAACUACGUG